rnacentral:rRNA from 1 species
GACGGAGGGUGCUAGCGUUGUUCGGAAUGACUGGGCGUAAAGGGCGCGUAGGCGGCUCGUGAAGUCGGGUGUGAAAGCCCGGGGCUCAACCCCGGAACGGCAUCCGAUACUGGCGGGCUUGAGACCGGGAGAGGAGGGUGGAAUACCCAGUGUAGAGGUGAAAUUCGUAGAUAUUGGGUGGAACACCGGUGGCGAAGGCGGGUCUCUGGGCAAUUCCUGACGCUGAGGCGCGAAAGCGUGGGGAGCAAACGGG